CUAAAGUCUGUCAUAUCACCAUGGAAACGAGGCAGAAUGCUGCCUGGCUUGGUAAAUGCCACGGGACAUGCUAAUGUCUUUCCUUACAUUAUCCUGAGAGUUCAAAGGCCUAAGGACAAUGGACAUGGACUUCCUGGCUACCCCUAUGUUCCUCUAAAGAAACAAAGAUUUCAGUUUCCUGAAAAUCACCCAUCACACAAUAUUGAAUGGAUUCCUAGAACUCAGUGGGACAUCAAUUUUAGAUGAAGAAGAAAAGAAAGAAGAAAGGGUGAUGAUGGUGAACCAAGACUUUAAAGACUUGUGAUUUUAAAGGAAAUAUGUCCCUCAUCAGGAGGCAGAGAGUUGCUGAUUUUUAUAAUUUCUCAAAUUGUAUGAUUUGAGAUUUACGUCUACCUAGUGAGUUCCAGGCCAGCCAAAGCUACAUUGUGAAGCCCUGUCUCUAAUUAAAUAAAUCCAAUCAUGUUUCUAAUUAAAUAAAUCUAAACCUCCUGUCA